rnacentral:rRNA from 1 species
UACGGAGGGGGCUAGCGUUGUUCGGAAUUACUGGGCGUAAAGCGUACGUAGGCGGCUUUGUAAGUUAGAGGUGAAAGCCCGGGGCUCAACUCCGGAAUUGCCUUUAAGACUGCAUCGCUUGAAUCAUGGAGAGGUGAGUGGAAUUCCGAGUGUAGAGGUGAAAUUCGUAGAUAUUCGGAAGAACACCAGUGGCGAAGGCGACUCACUGGACAUGUAUUGACGCUGAGGUACGAAAGCGUGGGGAGCAAACAGG